CCUACGGGUGGCUGCAGUGAGGAAUAUUGGUCAAUGGACGAGAGUCUGAACCAGCCAAGUAGCGUGAAGGAUGACUGCCCUAUGGGUUGUAAACUUCUUUUAUAUGGGAAUAAAAUGUUCCACGUGUGGGCUUUUGUAUGUACCAUAUGAAUAAGGAUCGGCUAACUCCGUGCCAGCAGCCGCGGUAAUACGGAGGAUCCGAGCGUUAUCCGGAUUUAUGGGGUUUAAAGGGAGCGUAGGUGGGUUGUUAAGUCAGUUGUGAAAGUUUGGGGCUCAACCGUAAAAUUGCAGUUGAAACUGGCAGUCUUGAGUACAGUAGAGGUGGGCGGAAUUCGUGGUGUAGCGGUGAAAUGCUUAGAUAUCACGCAGAACUCCGAUUGCGAAGGCAGCUCACUGGACUGCAACUGACACUGAGGCACGAAAGUGUGGGUAUCAAACAGGAUUAGAUACCCUUGUAGUC
rnacentral:rRNA from 1 species